rnacentral:pre_miRNA from 1 species
GGAAUAUAAGAACAUGUCUCUUAAUUUUUAACUAAAAAAGCUAAGAACCGGCUUUUAAAUAAGAGUUUUAAAAACUGGUUUUUUAACUUUUUUAGUUAAAAGUUAAAAGACGGAGUAUUAUAUUUC